rnacentral:rRNA from 1 species
UACGAAGGUGGCAAGCGUUACUCGGAAUUACUAGGCGUAAAGGGCAGGUAGGUGGUCUGGUAAGUCUGUUGUGAAAGCUCCCGGCUUAACUGGAAGAGGUCAACAGAAACUACCAGGCUUGAGUGUGGGAGAGGGUUCUGGAAUUCCCGGUGUAGCGGUGAAAUGCGCAGAGAUCGGGAGGAACACCAAUGGCGAAAGCAGGUACCUGGACCAUUACUGACACUCAGCUGCGAAAGCUAGGGGAG